UAGCUAGUUGGUGGGGUAAGGGCCUACCAAGGCGACGAUCGGUAGCUGGUCUGAGAGGAUGACCAGCCACACUGGAACUGAGACACGGUCCAGACUCCUACGGGAGGCAGCAGUGGGGAAUAUUGGACAAUGGGGGCAACCCUGAUCCAGCAAUGCCGCGUGUGUGAAGAAGGCCUGAGGGUUGUAAAGCACUUUCAGUGGGGAGGAGGGUUGAUAGGUUAAGAGCUAAUUAACUGGACGUUACCCACGGAAGAAGCACCGGCUAACUCCGUGCCAGCAGCCGCGGUAAUACGGAGGGUGCGAGCGUUAAUCGGAAUUACUGGGCGUAAAGGGUGCGUAGGUGGUUGAUUAAGUUAUCUGUGAAAUUCCUGGGCUUAACCUGGGACGGUCAGAUAAUACUGGUUGACUCGAGUAUGGGAGAGGGUAGUGGAAUUUCCGGUGUAGCGGUGAAAUGCGUAGAGAUCGGAAGGAACACCAGUGGCGAAGGCGGCUACCUGGCCUAAUACUGACACUGAGGCACGAAAGCGUGGGGAGCAAACAGGAUUAGAUACCCUGGUAGUCCACGCUGUAAACGAUGUCAACUAGCUGUUGGUUAUAUGAAAAUAAUUAGUGGCGC
rnacentral:rRNA from 1 species